GCCUGGGUGGCUCAGUUGGUUGAGUGUCCGACUUCGGCUCAGGUCAUGAUCUCGCGGUCUGUGGGUUCGAGCCCCGCAUCAGGCU
rnacentral:tRNA from 1 species